CCUACGGGAGGCAGCAGUGGGGAAUAUUGGACAAUGGGCGAAAGCCUGAUCCAGCAACGCCGUGUGUGUGAAGAAGGCCUUCGGGUUGUAAAGCACUUUUAGUUGGGAAGAAAAGCUCAAGAUUAAUAACUUUGAGUGAUGACGUUACCAACAGAAAAAGCACUGGCUAACUCUGUGCCAGCAGCCGCGGUAAUACAGAGAGUGCGAGCGUUAAUCGGAAUUACUGGGCGUAAAGCGCACGUAGGUGGAAUUUUAAGUCGGAUGUGAAAUCCCCGGGCUUAACCUGGGAAUUGCAUUCGAUACUGUGAUUCUAGAGUAUGGUAGAGGGAAGUGGAAUUUCCGGUGUAGCGGUGAAAUGCGUAGAUAUCGGAAGGAACAUCAGUGGCGAAAGCGGCUUCCUGGACCAAUACUGACACUUAGGUGCGAAAGCGUGGGGAGCAAACAGGAUUAGAUACCCUGGUAGUCCACGCCGUCAACGAUGAUACUAGAUGUUGGGAUUUACUCUUAGUAUCGAAGCUAACGCGUUAAGUUNUCCGCCGUGGGGAGGUACGGCGCGAGUAAACGUACGUAAGAAGUUAGUAGNGUUGAGAGNGCCGACGGACGACGACGAGGGAGGAGG
rnacentral:rRNA from 1 species